UGUUGGCUGGAUCGGGUUUCGUGCCUACAUGUGACAGGCAAAUUCCUGAGUGACCCCUCUUUAAACAGGGUUAUCCCUCGGGCGGCGUGAAGCACCGAUCAGAAAGUGAAGCGACGUGGAUAUUUACACUAUCAUUUUUCUGGCUCUGGCCGUCUUCAUCUUCCUGCGGCUGCGCAAUGUAUUGGGACAGCGUACGGGUGAUGAGCGCCCGCCAUUCGAUCUUCCGGCGCGCGGAAGCGCGCGUGUGUCCGACAACGUCGUGCCGUUGCCCGGCAAAACCAUCGAUCAAGCCCCGCUGGCGC
rnacentral:misc_RNA from 1 species